rnacentral:tRNA from 1 species
AGCCCCGUGGUGUAGCGGUCCAGCAUAGCGGGUUUUGGCCUCGCUGACGGAGGUUCAAAUCCUCCCGGGGCUACCA